rnacentral:rRNA from 1 species
UUUUUUAAUUGAAAACUUGUAUGAAGGGUUGAAUGAAAUAUAAGCUGUUUCAAAGAAAAAAUUAGAAUUUUAUUUUUUAGUUAAAAAGCUAAAAUAAAUUUAUAAGACGAGAAGACCCUAUAAAGUUUAAUAUUUUUUUUUUAUUAAUUUAUUUAAUUAUUUUAAGAUUUAUUUAAAAAUAAUAUUUUAUUGGGGAGAUAAUAAAAUUUGAUAAACUUUUAUUUUUUAAAUCAUUGAUUAAUGAAUGAAUGAUCUAUUUAUAAUGAUUAAAAAUUUAAAUUACUUUAGGGAUAACAGCGUAAUUUUUUUUUUAAGUUCAUAUUUAUAAAAAAUUUUGC